rnacentral:rRNA from 1 species
AUUGAACGCUGGCGGCAUGCUUUACACAUGCAAGUCGAACGGCAGCACGGGGGCAACCCUGGUGGCGAGUGGCGAACGGGUGAGUAAUGCAUCGGAACAUGCCCAGUCGUGGGGGAUAACGUAGCGAAAGUUACGCUAAUACCGCAUACGUCCUGAGGGAGAAAGCGGGGGAUCGCAAGACCUCGCGCGAUUGGAGUGGCCGAUGUCAGAUUAGCUAGUUGGUGGGGUAAAGGCCUACCAAGGCGACGAUCUGUAGCGGGUCUGAGAGGAUGAUCCGCCACACUGGGACUGAGACACGGCCCAGACUCCUACGGGAGGCAGCAGUGGGGAAUUUUGGACAAUGGGGGCAACCCUGAUCCAGCCAUGCCGCGUGCGGGAAGAAGGCCUUCGGGUUGUAAACCGCUUUCAGCCGGAAAGAAAUCGCCAUUCCUAAUACGAGUGGUGGAUGACGGUACCGGAAGAAGAAGCACCGGCUAACUACGUGCCAGCAGCCGCGGUAA